rnacentral:rRNA from 1 species
UACGAGGGAUGCAAGCGUUAUCCGGAAUUAUUGGGCGUAAAGCGUUUGUAGGCGGGCGAGUGUGUUUAAUGUUAAAUCUUAAAGCUCAACUUUGAAAUUGCGUUAAAAACUGCUUGUCUUGAGUAUGGUAGGGGUAAAGGGAGUUCCCAGUGUAGCGGUGAAAUGCGUAGAUAUUGGGAAGAACACUAAACAGCGAAGGCACUUUACUAGGCUAAUACUGACGCUGAGAAACGAAAGGUAAGGUAGCGAAACGGAUUAGAUACCCGUGUAGUCUUACCCGUAAACUAUGGACACUAAACGGUAAAUUUUUAAUUUACUGUUAAAGCUAACGCGUUAAGUGUCCCGCCUGGGGAGUAUGCUUGCAAAAGUGAAACUCAAAGGAAUUGACGGGGGCCCGCACAAGCGGUGGAGCAUGUGGUUUAAUUCGACGGUACACGAAGAACCUUACCAGGAUUUGACAUGCUAGAUAGUUGCUUGAAAGAGUAACGUGCCGUAAGGAAUCUAGACACAGGUGGUGCAUGGCUGUCGUCAGUUCGUGUUGUGAAAUGUUGGGUUAAGUCCCGCAACGAACGCAACCCUUGUCUUUAGUUAUUUUCUAAAGAGACUGCCUGUAAUAAACAGGAGGAAGGUAAGGAUGAGGUCAAGUCAUCAUGCCCCUUAUGUCCUGGGCUACACACGUGCUACAAUGGGAAAGACAAUGAGCUGCAAAUCUGUAAAUUUAAGCAAAUCUCUUAAACUUUCUCGUAGUUCGGAUUGUGGGCUGCAACUCGCCCACAUGAAGUUGGAAUCGCUAGUAAUCGCCAGUCAGCUAUAUGGCGGUGAAUCCGUUCCCGGGCCU